GCAGAGCGAACUGCGAGCAUCCGGGGGGACCCGGGCACCCCGCCCUUCUCCUUCUUUUUGCAGAGCUCUGCUGGCAAAGUGGCAUCCACAGAGACCCCGGCUCCGGUUUCACAGGAAGGGAAGACAUGAUGCUUAUUAAUUGCAGCACGUUAAGAAAAUACCAACAAGCAUACAGGAAAAAUGAAAAUAGCACGUAACUCUGCAAUCCAGAGAGUCUGUGAAAACAGCAUCCCCUCCAGA
rnacentral:lncRNA from 13 species